rnacentral:rRNA from 1 species
UGAGUAACACGUGGACAAUCUGCCCCCCGGCCCGGGAUAGCCCAGGGAAACCUGGAUUAAUACCGGAUGAGACGGGACCCGCGAUGGCGGGACCCGGGAAAGGCGCUGCGGCGCCGCCGGGGGGAUGAGUCUGCGUCCAUUAGCUAGACGGCGGGGUAACGGCCCACCGUGGCGACGAUGGGUAGCCGGCCUGAGAGGGUGGACGGCCACAUUGGAACUGAGACACGGUCCAGACUCCUACGGGAGGCAGCAGCUAAGAAUCUUCCGCAAUGGGCGAAAGCCUGACGGAGCGAACCGCCGCGUGAACGAAGAAGGCCGUGAGGUUGUAAAGUUCUUUUCGGGAGGGGGAACAACCGUGGCAGGGAAUGGCCGCGGGAUGACGUGAAUCCCGGAAUAAGCCCCGGCUAACUACGUGCCAGCAGCAGC